rnacentral:misc_RNA from 1 species
GCUCCCUCGGCAGCCGUGAAUUAGUUACUAGGAUAAACUGAUGACUGAACCUGCUGCUCUGUUCCCUGUGUGCCACCAUCAUUCUGAGGAGAAACUUGAUUCAUCCAUGGUUAUGGACAUUUUGGAUUCCAUGACACCAUCUGUUACCUUAUCUUCAACCUUGACGGCUCCGCUUUCUUCCUUCCCUUCUGCUGCAUUUAUACACUCAUGAAAUCUGAAGCAACUGGUGAGAUGAUCGUUUGUUAACCCUGCCACCUGCAUGAAUGAGUGGACGACUGCCCCACGCUGCGGAAUCCUCUUCUCACUAGAUCUUUGCUCAUUACGUCUGCUUUUGGAGUUUUGACAGGAAUCUGACGAGGAUACCGGAAUCUGCUAACUAUAGGCUUGUAGUUUACAAAGCUCCAAAUAUACUUAUCAAAUGACCCAAACUCAUCUAUCACCUUCAAUAUUUGGCGAGCAUUCUCAAUGAUUGCACGCAAUUUAACUUCUGAUAAUAAGGAGUUAGCUGUGCUUCCAGGUGCUAUUAUC